GGGAUCCCUAGCCUUGAGGAAGGCGACGAGCAGCUCGGCGGCCGCCGCCGCCGCCAUUUUGGGCUGGGAGGAGGCAGCGGAGGGACUCGCUGCGCAAGGAGAGGCCCCCAGGACGGCUUCCGCUCUGCUGUGCCUCCAGCGGGAUGCGGAUCAGGAGGCCGAGCUCCGUCGAGGCCUCUCCGCACCCCCAUUCAUCCGGGGUAUGGCGGCAGGGCCCGGCGGAGCCGGACCCCCCAUCUGCAGGACGAGGUGGGCGCGAUGCCAGUCGGAGAGACCCUGGCCUGCGGGGACGGGCCGAGGUUGCAGCUCUGGCCGCAUGCCCUCCGCGGUGCUAGGCAAGCUGGCGGCUCCAGGGGCGCCCAGCCAGAUGGCACCCACCUCUCCCCACCCCCGUUCACCAAGUCCAUCCCACCCCUCAGGGCCGCGAAAGGCAACCACCUCUAACUUCUAUAGCAACCACCAACUCCCCUGAGACCAGCUAGAUCCGGGCACGUGGAGAACUCCAGCUCAGUACUCGGAGAUUUCUCCCUUCGAGCCCCCACUCUCCCGGUGGCCUGGCCUCGAGCUUCACCGUCCACUUUUGGAAACUCCUAAAGUGCGCUUGUCCCACUUGAGAUUUUUUACGCCAAAGGGAUGGGGUUCUGCCCUUUCGCAGGGUUGGAACAAAAUAACUCAGAGUGACCACGGGUCCAGUAAUAGAAAUGGAGUGGCCCAUUUCGGAUACUUCAAAAACAUGUUUGCGUUUUGAAAUCUGAGCCAUAACUUUUGGGCAAAAUGACGGUGCUACAGGGGAAAAGUGAACUUGAAUUCCAGUGUGGCCUAUGGAAGCCUACACGAUGACCCGCUUAAAGUCUUGUUUCACAAACUAGAGAGUAUAUUCUGUGCCACCUAUCACAUCAUUGCUGUAGCCAUCUUUCCUUUAGAUGUAGAAGGUUCUUAGGUAGAAAUGGCAGUUUCAUGUAUGUGUAAUAUAGGAUGUAGGGGAGACCUUUGAAAGAAUAAACUUACAACUUAAAUUAUAGCACUGCCAGCUUUUAAAAGGCUGGAGUUUGAUGUGAUAGUCUCUUACUGAACUGCAGAUUAGACAUCUCGUUUCUUAGAGAUUUCCAGGCUGCAUCUUUAAAUAAUAGCUUUGUUGUUCAGCUGUCAGUUAAGAUUGUGUCCAGGUAGGCUCUGAGGUAGGUGGUUAACUAGCCGUUGGUAUCUGUGGGUGCCUUGUAAUGAAUUUCACUGCCAGUUACAGAUGGUCUAACUCCUAGGCCUUUGCUUUAACAGUAGAAUCCAUGAAAGUUUUUUUCAGAGUGAAAGGACUGCCUCUAGUAUGAAUAAUAAAGUUUUUUUGGCUGGGUGUGGUGGAUCUCAUGAAUUCGAAGUCAGCCUGCACUACAUAGAGAGUUCCAGGCCAGCCAGGGCUACCUUAAUGAAACUCAUCUCAAAGCAGUCUAAUGUGAAGACUUCAGACUUCAUAGUUGUAGCUGAUCUCUCCUUCCAUCCCUCAAAAGCGCAAAAAAAAAAAAAAAAAAAAAAAAAGUUCUGUACAAAUAAAACCCUUUAUUUUAUUUUUUGGAGAUGUCUGACUCUAGCCCAGGCUAGACUCAAACUCAGGGUAAUCCUGCUGCCUCAGACAUAUGAGUAUUGAAAUUACUGGUGUGAGCUUGUUUUCUCACUCGUUCCUUUGAGACAGGGUUUCAGGUAGUCCAGACAGACCCUGAACUUGUGUAGUUUAAGCUGGCUUCGAAUUUACUUCCUCCACCUCCCAAAUCCUUGGAUCAUAUAGGCUUGCACCACCACACCCAGUGUCAUUCAUUCACUUUCUUUGUAUGCACACUUGUGCAGGUCAGAAUUCCUAAGAGUCCUGUUCUCCUACCACCUGUGUUCCCAGGGCUGGAACUCCCGUUGUCAUUCUUGGCAGCAAGUAACUUAAUGAGCCAUCUAGCUGUUUUCUUAAUGGCUGUUUGGGUUUUUAUUAUUGUUGUUGUUUGUGUGCUCUUUUGAGACAGACUGUCACUAUUUAGCCCCUGGCCAGGAGCCAUCUGCUUGAGCCUUUCAAGUGUUCUCAGUUGUAUACCACUGCCUUCAGUCCUGGCCAAGUUGACCUUUGAACUCAUGAUCAACCUGCUGAAAUUACAAGAAUGUACUGUCAUACAUAAUUUAUGUGGUAUUGAGGAUUGAAUUUAGGGCUUUGUGCAUUCUAGGCAAUUAUGCUACCAACUGAACUACAUCUAGUCCCCAGUAGAAUUCUUAAUCCAAAAUUCUUAAUCCAAAACUUUGUUUUUUUUUUUUUUUUUUUUGAGGCAUGGCCUUGCUCUGUAGUUCAGGAUGGCCUAGAACUCAUUUCCUAUACUUCAGUGGUCUUAAGUUUCAUUCAUGGUAGCCCACUUGUCUUAGUUUAGGGUUAUAAAUAUUAGUCAAAACAAAAAGAAAAAGCAGGGCAUGGUGGUGCAUGCCUGUGAUCCCAGCACUUGGGGAGGCAGAGGCAGGCGGAUCCCUGAGUUCGAGGCCAGCCUGGUCUAUAAAUCGAGUACAGGACAGCCAGGGCUACACAGAGAAACCCUGUCUCAAAAAACCAAAAAAGAAAAAAAUGGGGACUGUAGUUCAGUGCACUUGCUUAGCAUGCACAGGAAUGGAGAGCGGGAGUUGGAUGGAGAGCGGGAGUGGGGGACAUGUUAGGAAAGGCUGACACUACCUUGGUAGGAGUCAAAUUAAAGAGUCAGAGCUGAUAGGGCUUAUUUUUGUGGUUCUUCUGUCAAGAAUUUAUUAGAGGAGGAUCCUAGACUCUUGUGAUUCAUCCUCUAUUGUGAAGCAAUCUAGUUAAAACUUGGGAGGCUACUGAAUAGCAAUACUAUGGCAGGAGCAGAAAUUUGUUACUCACUUAUAGAUGAAGGCUUAACCAUACUUAAGAGUGAUGACACAUGAGCUUUUCCAUUCCUUGAUUUUAAAGAGUUGGGGGUAGCUGGAUGCAAUCAUUUUACUCAGGAAGCUGAGGCAGGUAGAUUGUCAUAUUGGACACCAGUCUGAGCCACAGUGAGACCCUGUCUCAAAAGUAGACUGUAGGAGGGAGAGACAGCUCAGUCUUGUGUUUAAGCAUGAAGACCUGAGCUCAGUCUCUAGAACCCAAGUUUAAAAUGUGGAUGGGGGCUGGAGCAAUUCUCUUUCAAUGGACCUGGGUUCAGUUCCCAGCACCACCAUGGUAGAACAUGACUAACGCCAGUUCCAGGACCCUUUUCUGACCUCCAUGGGUAUCAGAAAUGUAUGUGGUACACAUACAUUGACAAAGGCAAACACUCAUACACAAAAGUGUCAGGUGCUGGGUGUGGUGGAGCAGAGGCAGGCAGAUCUCUUGAAUUAAAGGCUCAUCUGCUCUAUAAAGCAAGUUCUGGGACAGCCAGGGCUACACAGAGCAACCCUGUUGAGGGCAGGGAUUGUUAGGAAGGCAGAGACUGGCCUUGCUGGCGGGAAGCUGAUUGUACUGUUUAGUUACAGGCCAGUAGGAGCUUGUCUCAAAUAAGAAUAUGUCUAUGGGAGAAGGCGUAUGAAAGAUUGCCCUCUGGCCUCCAUAUACUUGUAUAUGCACAUCACACACACACACACACACACACAUCUGCAUAGACAUACACAAGGCGAGGAGACACAGUGGCUCAUGAGAAUCCUAAAUGCCUCAAGUUCCUAAUUUCAAAUGGCAAAACCCUGCUUUCCUCACAGGUGCCUCACGAGUGACCACUCAUCUGUACCUGUGGACAUCUCGUUCUACUUCAGAAAAAGCUUCUUUAGAAGCUAGGAGGAGUCUGGGGAUGCGGUUCAGAUGGCGGAGUGCUUGCCUAGCACACCUGAGCUUCUGUCUUUCCCCUCCCCACCAAUUAGCUUAUUAGGGCUUAUGUAAGACCCACCUCACCAAUAAUAGAUGGCUGGGAUGUACACAAAAGAGAAGCCAUCUAAGGAAACUGAGAAUCAGUGUCUCAUGGCACCAAAGCGGAUGUUAUUAUAAAGUCCUUGAUAGUUUAUAUUUAUGUAACAGCCAGUUCCUGGAGACCAGUCACUGUAAGUCGUGCUGGGCAGAGGUGGAAAUGCUCCAGAUUUCCAAGCCACUCCUUGGUACUGUGAACGUACUUGCUUCUGAAAUGUUUGUGCUUUUGUGUGUAGCUCCCACAGUACACCCAUCCAUCCAUGCAUCCAUCUUCCUCCACACCUUUUUUUUCAGCAAAGGGGACUCUGCAUAUCUCUGGCUGUCCUGGAAUUCACUGUGUAGGCCAGACUGACCAUGGCUCAAUAUGUAGCCAAAGGCUGGGCUUGAUGUCUCAAUUCUUGCCUUAGUUUCCCGAGUGCUAGAGUUACCACCAUGAGUUUUUUCCCCUUUUCGGGUUGUUUUAAUGUUAUUAGGCUAAGUGGAUGUUUAUUAAGAACUGAAGAUGUUCCUUCCUGUCCCGAAUUUGAUUCUUUGCUUUUGCCUGAAAGUUGCAUAGACAUUAAUGGGUAUGCAGAAUCAUAUGUCUACAGCAGCUCCCAGGGGCUGGAUAAAUGCCUGAGUGGUGAAGAGUGCAAAUGCUCUUUUAGGGGCCUGAGUUCAAUUCCCGGCACCCACAUCAAGAGGCUCACAACUGCUUGGUACUCCAACUCCAGAGAAGCCACCACCUGGCCUCUAAGAGCACUUGUACUCAUGUUCACACACCCCUGCAGACAGACGCACACACACACAUGAUUAAAAAUAAAUCUUAAAGGAGUCCUCGCAAUUCUAUUAAUUUCCUCCUGUAGCCUUCUGGAGGUUAGAGCAAAUUUUAUUCAUUAGCUUACGGAGAGAUGUUGAUUAUUUCCUCCCAUAUUAUUAUAUAUAAAGUACUCCGAAAUUCUUAUAUUUAGCUUCAUUAUAGGAGAGUUUUAUAGUAGAGUUUUUAGUUUGGUUAGUUUGGUUUUGGCUUUUAAAAAAAUACUAUGUAUGCAAUGUUCUGUCUGCAUGUACACCUGCACACCAGAAGAGGGCACCAGACAUCUUUGUAGGUGGUUGUGAGCCACCCUGUUGCUGGGAAUCAAACUCAGGACCUCUGGAGGAACAGCUAGUGUGCUUAACCUCUGAUCCAUCUUUCCCUGGCUUUUUUCUUUCUUUCUUUUUUAAAGACAGUUUCACUGUGUGCUUUGGCUGUCUUGGGAGUUACUCUGUAGACCAGGCUGGCCUCAGACUCACAGAGCUCCACCUGCCUCUACUUCCUCAGUGCUGGUUUAAAGGCAUGCACCACCACACCUAAGCAGAUGCCUGUUGGUGGUUUUCGAGACAGGGUUUCUCUGUGUAGCCUCGGCUGCCUUGGACUCAGGGAGAUCAACCUGCCUGUACUUACCUGAGUGAUGCCCAGCUCCAAAGUAGACCAGUUGCCUUUUUUUUUUUUUUUUUAAGACAGGGUCUCACUAGCUGGCAUGGAGCUCGCAGAUACUUGUCAGCCACUUCCAAGUGGCUGGCAUUCAGGAGUGUAGUUGUUUGUUCACUGCAGACCAGUAACAGUUUAUAUGUGCUGGAGAGAUGACUUAGUGCUCAAGAACACUUUCUGCUCUUGCAGAGGACCCAGGUUCAGUUUCUAGCACCACACAGUAGCUCAGUUCCAGGUGAUCCGUCACAUUGUUGAAAACACUGUUGAAGGGGGGUGUGGUAGAUCAUAGUUCUAAUCCCUACCCUUGGAAGGCUGAAACAGGAGGCUGGCCGAGAGUUCAGUGACAGCCUGAGCCACACGUCACGUGGUAGGCUAGCUUAUGUCACAGUAAGGUGCUCUCCGUCUCUGUGUCUCUGUCUCUCUCGUUGUUGUUUUGAAAAAUGGUAUCUCUGUGUAGCCCUGGUUGUCCUGGAACUUGCUAUGCAGAUCAGAAUGCCCUCAAACUCAUAGAGAUGGACCUCCCUCUGUCGUCCGAGUACUGGGACUGAUGGCUGGCACCAUCUUGUUCAGUACAGUGGGUAUUUUUAGACUUAUUAUUAGCUUUUUGUAGCAGCUCAGCUUUUUGAGUUUUGUUGGUGUGUUAAAGUUUGUUAUAGAACGAUAGUUAUUGUCAUUAGAUAAAUUUUCAUAACUGAAUCUCCUCUUUAUAAGUAAAACUCAAAAAACAAGUUUACUUAAGUAGUUUUGUUUUUCUGAGACAGAGUCUAGUGCAGACCAGGCUGGCCUCAGGUCCAGUAGGUAAUUGAGAAUGACCUUGAACUCCUGAGCUUCUUGCCCCCAUUUACAGUUCCAAGCACUGAAAUGAAAGGUAUACAGUACCAUGCCCCAUUUAUAGGUUGGCAGGAGAUGCUAGGGAUUAACUCCAAGGUUUCUUGUGUAUUUUGUAUAAUGAACUAAAUCUCCAACUUUUGGAAAGAUUUGUGAGAAUUAAAUUACAUGGUGGUGCACGCCUUUGAUCCCAGCACUCAGGAGGCAGAGGACAACCUAUAGAGUGAAUCUAUAGAGUGAGUCCCAGAACAGCCAAAGCUACACAGAGAAACCCUGUCUCAAAAAACAAAACAAAACAAACAAACAAAAAUUAGUAAUCUAAAACUCGGCCUUUGUUUCUUGAAGAAGAACCCACAUGGUACUGGGUGUAGUGUUACACUCCUUUGUCCCAGCGCUGGGGAUUUGAGUUUAAGGCUAGCCUGGUCUACAUAGUGAGUUCCACGAUAGCCAGGGCUACAUGGUGAGAUCCUGUCACAAAACAAAAAACCUAGAACCCCGAUGGUAACCACUCUGUAUUCUGAGAUGUCUUGACCAAUGACUCAAUUUUUGUUUCCCAGGUCAUUUAUUUUCUUAAUUACUUUACUGGGCAAGGCCUGGUAGACCAUGCCUGUCAUCCUAGUGUUUGGGAGGAGACAGGAGGAUCAGGAAUUGAAGGCCAGCUUUAGCUACAGAGUGAGUUCUGAGCUACAUGAAACCUUUGCCUUAAAAUAAAGUUUAAAAUUGCUUUUCUGAGCCAAGUGUUGUGUGGUGCGUGCCAGGCUACUGGGGAAGCUAAGGUAGGAGAUUGCUGGAGCCUAGAAAUUGAGACCAACCUGGGCAAUGUAGUGAGACCUGGUCACAAUAGAAAAAAUAAAUAGCUGUUUGUGCUGGUAGAUGCCUGUAAUCCCAGCACUCUGCAGACAAAUGGGUGAAUCACUGCAAGUUCAAGCACAGUUCUGUAUAGUGAUUGUCCAGGCCAGCAAGGGCUCUAUAUUAAGACCCUGUCUCAAAACAAACAAAAACAAAUCGGUAGGAUUAAAUUUGAAAGUCUUUUUCAAGUGUGAUGGUACACACCUUUAUCCCAGCAUUCAGGAACCUAAAAAUAGUUGUAAAUUUGAGCUCUAAAGCAAGACUAUCUCAAACAUAAACAAAUAUAAAUAUUGGGGUCCAGUAAGAUGGCUCAGUGGUAGUUACCACCAAGCCCGAUGACCUCAGUUGGAUCGUCAGGACUUAGAAGGUGGAAGGAAGGACCCCUGGUUUCCACAAGUUGUCUUCUGGCCUUCACUUGAAUGGUGUAGUGUGCAUGCACACACAUGUAGGGCCUGGCGUGCUGGCCGAGUGGUUAGUAGAACCUACUACUCUUGCUGAGGACCUGGGUUGGUCCCCAACACCCACACAGCAGCUCACAACCUGUCUGUAGUCAGGACAUCUAGUGCUCGCUUCUGGCCUCUGGACACCAGACGUGCAUGGGACAAACAACAUACACAGGAAAAUAAAGCUUUUAAGAAUAAAAACAUCACGUUACUUUUUAUCUUUUUCACAUAAGCUGUUCACAUUUUGUGUGAGAAUGAAGUGGAGCUUUUAUUCCAAUCAUCUGUGUAAAUAUGCAAAGUUACAAGCGCUAAGUGUGCUUGCUCAGGCCUGUAAUCUCCGCAUGCAGAAGCUGAGGCAGGAUUGUUCAGAGUUUGAGGCUAGCCUGGGCUCCAUAGUAGCACCAGACGAGGUUGGCCUAGAGUGAGACCCAGUCUCACAAUAGUGACAAAAGUCCACAAAACCAUGUGCCCUUUAAUACCUCAGCAUGUUAUUAUAGCCAACUUUGAUCACACUACAUUGUUAUGGAUAUUUGUGGUCCAUCAUCAGGCAUGUAAGUAGAUUAGGGCAGCAUGUGUACAUGCUUACAAUUAUUUAAUGUUCUGUCUUGGGUUUUCUUUUUGUUUUUGUUUGUGUAGCCCUGGCUGUCCUGGAACUCUCUCUGCAGACCAGGCUGGUGUCGCAGAGCUCUUCCUGCCUCUGCCUCUGGAGUAUAGACUGCUGGGUUUAAUGUUUGGCUUCAUAUAGCCGUCCUUUGGUUUAAAUUAUUUAUUUAUUUUCUUAGGUUUUUUUUGGGACAGGGUUUCUCUAUGUAACCUUGGCUGUCCUGGACCAGGCUGGCCUCAAGCUCCCAGAGUGCUGGGAUCACAGGCGUGCAGCACUGUGCCUGGCUCUAAAAUAGUUUUGUCAAGGCAUUAUCGUUAUUAAUUUCAUACAUGCGUUCACAGUGUUAUUUGAUUACUCCCCCCCCCCCCCCAGAUCUUCCCACACCACCUUUGUUGGGUUUUUUGUUUUUGUAGUCCACUUUUUCCAGUUUGUACUUCGAAUGAAUGUAUUCAUGGGUGUAGGGCCAUCCAUGCGGCAUGGUGGACCUGCUAGGGGCUACAUCCUUUUUUGUUUCUCCAUGUAACCCUGGCCCUGGAACUCUCUAUAAACCAGGCUGGUCUGGAACUCACAGAGAUCUGUGUGUCUCUGCCUCCUGAGUGCUGGGAUUGAAGGCGUAUGCCAACAGGGCCGCCAGGCUAGGGGCCACAUCCUUAAACCUCCCUCCCUCCAGAAGCCAUCAGUUGUCAGCUAUGGGAUGGAGAGUUGUGAUCACCCUUCCCCUUUGUGCUGGAAUGUUGACCCUUGGUUUUCUGAAGGUAGACUGUUUGGUGUAGGGUUUUGUUUUUUUUUUGUUUUGUUUUGUUUUUUGUUUCUUUGUUUUGUUUUGUUUUUAGAUUCUAUGGAGUUCUUUUAUUUCUCUGUCUCGUGUGUCCCAGUCAGGGAGCUCAAAAUCAGAGGCCUUGUGCAUGCUAGGAAAGCACUCUUCCACUGAGCUACCUCCCCAGUCUCUAACUUGAAGUCAUUGGGGUAAAGUAUACGUUGAUUUUUGCUCUGAUGCUGCCCACCGAAUAUUGACCCCAGCCUUGUGCAUAGAGUGCUCAAUCUGCCCUAUCACUGACCUACAUCACACACCCAUGGUUUGGGGAGAUAAACUCCUAACAUACACAGUUCAGGCUAGCCUCAAACUCAGAAAACUCUUGUGUUUCCCAAGUCCUGGGACUGUAUAGUACUUUUUUGUUUUUGGACACAGGGAACCCCAGUAAUCUAAGCUGAUCUUCAGUUUGCUGGGUAGCAGAGGACGGCCUUUAAUUCCUGUUUGUCCUGCUUCCACAUCCCAGAUGCUAGGAUUCCAGGUGCUCACCACCACACUCAGGAGAGGUGGCUUACUUUUGUACAGCACUUUUAAGAAGAUUUCUUUGUAUGAGUGUUUUGCCUUUGUGUAUGUAUGUACACCGCAAGCAUGCCUGGUACCAUGGAUGUCAAAAGAAGACAUUAGGUUUCCUGGAACUGAAAUUAUAGAUAGUUGUGAGCCACCAUGUGCUAUUGAGAAUGGGUCUUUUUCAAGAGCGACUAGGACUCUUAACCUCUAAGUAAUCUCUUCAGCCUCCUGUAUGCUACAUUUUACUUCUCACCUGUCUUUCCUUAAUGACACUUUCAUGGACACGUGUUUGUGGCAGAUGCACACACACACACACACACACACACACACACACACACGUGGAAGCCAGAGUACAGCUUAGAUUGCCCAGUGACUGUCCACCUUGUUUAUUUUGUAGAUUCUUUUUGUACAUGUGAGUACGUGUGGAGCAGAGGAAACCUCCUGCCAUUGUUCCUCAGGAGCCAGUUCCCUCUUGUUUUAUUUUUGAGAUGGAGUCUCAUUAGAGCUCUAGCUGUGGCCUGGAAUUCACUAUGUACACAAGAUAGGUCUGGGACUAAAAGAGAUGUGUUUGCGUCUUCCUCCUGAAUGCUGGGAUUACAGGCAUGUGUCACCAUGGCCAGGUACCUUCCCCUUACCUAAGAUGGUGUCUCACUGGGACCUGGGACUUAUCUAUUACACUAAACUGGCUAGUUAGCAAGCCCCAGGGAUCUGUCUGGAUCUGUCUGGAUCCGUCUGCCUCUCCAGUGCUGGAAUUAUGAGAGCAGCCCACCAUAGCUGGCUUUUAAAAACGUGGGCUCAGGGGACAAACUCAGGUGCUCAGGCUAUCAUGGCAGGCACUUUACCAAGUUAGCGCUCUCCGCAGCCCCCUUCCCUUUUACAUUUGGGACAGGGUCUCCUGUAGCCAGGCUGGCCUAACACUUGCCAUGUAGUGGACAGCGACUUUACUCUUCUGAUCCUCCUGUUCUACUUCCUGAAUGGUAGAAUUAUGGGCCUGAGUACAUGCCUGGGUUAUUAAACCCAGGACUCUGUCCAUGAUAGGAAACCGCUGUAACCAACUGAACUACGUUCCCAGACUGCUAGUUAAGAGAACAGUAUUUUUGGAUCUAAAUCAAUUUUGAAUUCCCUGGUUCUGUCCACGAAGACUCUUGAAAUAAAAAAAAAAGAUUCUGCCUCUUAACCAUCUUUUUUGACCAGCCCAAGAAGAGUUCUGCCUGCCUGUCGCAGUCUGAGAGGCAGUUUCCUCAUUCAUAGCCAUGCCCAGUACAAGACAGGGAGCAAACUGAAAUUGCUCACUUGUGAGCCAGGUCUUUUGAGCAGCUGUUAAAAUGUUUGGCAAAGGGCUUGUAUGAAAGGCUGGGGGUGGGGGUUGGAUCAUUUGUCAUCACAACCCUGUUACUACAGGCAACUCAACGUCUUUGCUGUAGUCUCUUUCAAUCUAGAAAGCGUUGAUAGAAGAGCUUUGUGUUAGCUUUUAUCAUUCCAAGAACAUAAAUAGCAAAAUGUUAGUGCCUUUGAGUCAGACAAAUUUGCAUAACCCAAGGUAAAGCAGAAUAAUUUAGAGAUACUUAAAACUAAGUAUUUGGUAUUUUUUAAAACAAGACUUAAUUUGCCUCUGCAGAGUAGAAUGUAUUCCUUUUUCCUAAUAAAAAACGAACUUAAGGUCUUCCCAGGGUGGAUUCUGGAAAUGCUGUUUCUAAUAGGAGGAGAGAGAGAUGUUUCUAGUCAAAUCUUUCCUAGGAAAAUGAUCUGAAAUCAGAGGUUCUCACUGCUGCAUCCUCUUGUGGUGCAGUCAAAAGGAGGCCUGGCUUUACAUGGUAAAGCCAGAGGGCACUGUUGCUGCUUCCCACCAAACAGCCAGUUUUCUAGGGCUGCUGUAUGACGUCAUAGAAUAAAAAUGAAAAACACGAAGAAAUCCAUUUCAAAAUAGACAUUUAAUGCAAUCCUUAGGUCAAAGAAAAAUUAUUUUUACAGUUUCUACAGUGGGCCACUUGCCAGAAUAGGACCAGCACAGUCUGGUUUUGAAGGCCCCAAUUGUGUCCUCCUGGCACAGUUUCCCUUGAAUUAUUGAUUUGUAUAUGCUGCUUAUGCAUCAUAAGGAGCAUUUCAUUCUUGAAGUUUCAAUCACCUCUACUGGUGCCAUUUAGCUGCCAGAACAGGCAGAGAGGCACCCUCCCCAAGGGGUUCUUAACCACCAAGGAAUUGGACAACCUUGAGUCUCUUGAACCCACUUGCACAUACAUGCAUAUGUAUCUACAUACAUAUGUAUGUGUGUUCACACACGUAAUUAUAUGGGGCUUGUUGACCCCCAAGGCCCCUAUUAAGUUUUUAAGGCCCCAAGGAGCCAGUGUGCUAAUAAAUGUGAGCAAUACAAUUGCCCGGGUUACGCACAGCUCAGGUGAAGGAGGGUUGCAUUAGCUAUACUGACAAGUAAGAACAACUGUUUGAUCUACAGUUUUGAUUCUGUGGUACGGAUCAGUUCUGAGCUCCUGGCAUUUUCAAGAACUACCUAGCCUGGGCAGCUGUCCAGGCAACUCAGGAGACUGAGAAUAGCUGCCCUUCUGGGAA